GCGGGCGUGAUGGAACCGGUAGACAUACCGGACUUAAAAUCCGGAGGCCUUUGCGCCGUGCGGGUUCGAGUCCCGCCGCCCGCACCA
rnacentral:tRNA from 1 species